rnacentral:rRNA from 1 species
CCAGGUUGAUUCUGCCUGACGUAGACGCUAUUCCCUAAGAUUAACCCAUGCAUGUUAUUGAUUUUUGAAAAAUGGACUGCUCAGUAAUACUCACUUUAUUUUAUGUAUACUUAUUAUAACUACGUUAAAGUGUAGAUAAAAUGUAUACAGUAAGAGUGAGACCUAUCAGCUAGUUGUUAAGGUAAUGGCUUAACAAGGCAGUGACGGGUAACGGUAUUACUUUGUAAUAUUCCGGAGAAGGAGCCUGAGAGACGGCUACUAAGUCUAAGGAUUGCAGCAGGGGCGAAACUUGACCUAUGGAUUUUAUCUGAGGCAGUUAUGGGAAGUAAUAUUAUAUUGUUUCAUAUUUUAAAAGUAUAUGAGGUGAUUAAUUGGAGGGCAAAUCAAGUGCCAGCAGCCGCGGUAAUACUUGUUCCAAGAGUGUGUAUGAUGAUUGAUGCAGUUAAAAAGUCCGUAGUUUAUUUUUAAGAAGCAAUAUGAGGUGUACUGUAUAGUUGGGAGAGAGAUGAAAUGUGACGACCCUGACUGGACGAACA